rnacentral:rRNA from 1 species
UACGUAGGGUGCAAGCGUUGUCCGGAAUUAUUGGGCGUAAAGAGCUUGUAGGCGGUUUGUCGCGUCUGCUGUGAAAUUUCGGGGCUCAACCCCGAACUUGCAGUGGGUACGGGCAGACUAGAGUGUGGUAGGGGAGACUGGAAUUCCUGGUGUAGCGGUGAAAUGCGCAGAUAUCAGGAAGAACACCGAUGGCGAAGGCAGUUCUCUGGGACGGUACUGACGCUGAGACGCGAAAGCGUGGGGAGCGAACAGG